rnacentral:rRNA from 1 species
CCUACGGGAGGCAGCAGUGAGGAAUAUUGGUCAAUGGGCGGAAGCCUGAACCAGCCAAGUAGCGUGCGGGAUGACGGCCCUACGGGUUGUAAACCGCUUUUGCACGGGGAUAACACCCUCCACUUGUGGAGGUUUGCAUGUACCGUGCGAAUAAGGGCCGGCUAAUUCCGUGCCAGCAGCCGCGGUAAUACGGAAGGCCCGAGCGUUAUCCGGAUUUAUUGGGCUUAAAGGGAGCGUAGGCGGGGUGGCAAGUCAGCUGUGAAAUUUGGCGGCUCAACCCCGGCCCGGAAGUGGAAACUGGCGGUAUUGAGUCCACAGCAGGCAGGCGGAAUUCGUGGUGUAGCGGUGAAAUGCUUAGAUAUGACGAAGAACCCCGAUUGCGAAGGCAGCUUGCUGGGGUGCGACUGACGCUGAUGCUCGAAAGUGCGGGUAUCAAACAGGAUUAGAUACCCUAGUAGUC